rnacentral:rRNA from 1 species
CCUACGGGGGGCAGCAGUGAGGAAUAUUGGUCAAUGGACGAGAGUCUGAACCAGCCAAGUAGCGUGAAGGAUGACUGCCCUAUGGGUUGUAAACUUCUUUUAUAUGGGAAUAAAAUGUUCCACGUGUGGGAUUUUGUAUGUACCAUAUGAAUAAGGAUCGGCUAACUCCGUGCCAGCAGCCGCGGUAAUAUGGAGGAUCCGAGCGUUAUCCGGAUUUAUUGGGUUUAAAGGGAGCGUAGGUGGAUUGUUAAGUCAGUUGUGAAAGUUUGCGGCUCAACCGUAAAAUUGCAGUUGAAACUGGCAGUCGUGAGUACAGUAGAGGUGGGCGGAAUUCGUGGUGUAGCGGUGAAAUGCUUAGAUAUCACGAAGAACUCCGAUUGCGAAGGCAGCUCACUGGACUGCAACUGACACUGAGGCUCGAAAGUGUGGGUAUCAAACAGGAUUAGAUACCCUAGUAGUC